UAAUACAUGCAAGUCGAGCGAGCUGAAUUCAAAGAUCCCUUCGGGGUGAUUUGUUGGACGCUAGCGGCGGAUGGGUGAGUAACACGUGGGCAAUCUGUCCUAAAGACUGGGAUACCACUUGGAAACAGGUGCUUAUACCGGAUAACAACAUGAAUCGCAUGAUUCAAGUUUGAAAGGCGGCGCAAGCUGUCACUUUAGGAUGAGCCCGCGGCGCAUUAGCUAGUUGGUGGGGUAAAGGCCUACCAAGGCAAUGAUGCGUAGCCGAGUUGAGAGACUGAUCGGCCACACUGGGACUGAGACACGGCCCAAACUCCUACGGGAGGCAGCAGUAGGGAAUCUUCCACAAUGGACGCAAGUCUGAUGGAGCAACGCCGCGUGAGUGAAGAAGGUUUUCGGAUCGUAAAGCUCUGUUGUUAGUGAAGAAGGAUAGAGGCAGUAACUGGUCUUUAUUUGACGGUAAUCAACCAGAAAGUCACGGCUAACUACGUG
rnacentral:rRNA from 1 species